GAUGAACGCUGGCGGCGUGCCUAAUACAUGCAAGUCGAGCGAACAGACGAGGAGCUUGCUCCUCUGACGUUAGCGGCGGACGGGUGAGUAACACGUGGAUAACCUACCUAUAAGACUGGGAUAACUUCGGGAAACCGGAGCUAAUACCGGAUAACAUGUUGAACCGCAUGGUUCAACAGUGAAUGACGGUCUUGCUGUCACUUAUAGAUGGAUCCGCGCCGCAUUAGCUAGUUGGUAAGGUAACGGCUUACCAAGGCAACGAUGCGUAGCCGACCUGAGAGGGUGAUCGGCCACACUGGAACUGAGACACGGUCCAGACUCCUACGGGAGGCAGCAGUAGGGAAUCUUCCGCAAUGGGCGAAAGCCUGACGGAGCAACGCCGCGUGAGUGAAGAAGGUCUUCGGAUCGUAAAACUCUGUUAUUAGGGAAGAACAAAUGUGUAAGUAACUAUGCACGUCUUGACGGUACCUAAUCAGAAAGCCACGGCUAACUACGUG
rnacentral:rRNA from 1 species